GAUGAGCGCUGGCGGCGUGCCUAAUACAUGCAAGUCGAGCGAACAGACGAGGAGCUUGCUCCUCUGACGUUAGCGGCGGACGGGUGAGCAACACGUGGAUAACCUACCUAUAAGACUGGGAUAACUUCGGGAAACCGGAGCUAAUACCGGAUAAUAUAUUGAACCGCAUGGUUCAAUAGUGAAAGACGGUUUUGCUGUCACUUAUAGAUGGAUCCGCGCCGCAUUAGCUAGUUGGUAAGGUAACGGCUUACCAAGGCAACGAUGCGUAGCCGACCUGAGAGGGUGAUCGGCCACACUGGAACUGAGACACGGUCCAGACUCCUACGGGAGGCAGCAGUAGGGAAUCUUCCGCAAUGGGCGAAAGCCUGACGGAGCAACGCCGCGUGAGUGAUGAAGGUCUUCGGAUCGUAAAACUCUGUUAUUAGGGAAGAACAAAUGUGUAAGUAACUAUGCACGUCUUGACGGUACCUAAUCAGAAAGCCACGGCUAACUACGUG
rnacentral:rRNA from 1 species